rnacentral:rRNA from 1 species
UGGGGGAUAUUGCACAAUGGGCGAAAGCCUGAUGCAGCGACGCCGCGUGGGGGAUGAAGGCCUUCGGGUUGUAAACUUCUUUUGCUCUGAACAAGGCGCACCAUGGGGUGUGUUGAGAGUAGGGGUUGAUUAGCGCCGGCUAACUACGUGCCAGCAGCCGCGGUAAUACGUAGGGCGCGAGCGUUGUCCGGAAUUAUUGGGCGUAAAGGGCUUGUAGGUGGCUGGUUGCGUCUGUCGUGAAAGCUCAUGGCUUAACUGUGGGUUUGCGGUGGGUACGGGCUGGCUUGAGUGCAGUAGGGGAGGCUGGAAUUCCUGGUGUAGCGGUGGAAUGCGCAGAUAUCAGGAGGAAUACCGGUGGCGAAGGCGGGUCUCUGGGCUGUUACUGACACUGAGGAGCGAAAGCAUGGGGAGCGAACAGG